UACGUAGGUGACCAGCGUUGUCCGGAUUUACUGGGCGUAAAGAGCGCGCAGGCGGUCGUUCAAGUCGAGUGUGAAAGCCCCCGGCUCAACUGGGGAGGGUCAUUCGAUACUGAUCGACUGGAAGGCAGGAGAGGGAAGCGGAAUUCCCAGUGUAGCGGUGAAAUGCGUAGAUAUUGGGAGGAACACCAGUGGCGAAGGCGGCUCGCUGGACCGGUUCUGACGCUGAUGCGCGAAAGCGUGGGAGCAACGGG
rnacentral:rRNA from 1 species